ensembl:lncRNA
CCUAGGAACAGUGGGUUAACUGCCUUGUUCAGUGGCAGAAUGACAGAUUUUUACCUUGUCAGCUCGGGGAUUUGAUUUUGCAACCUUUCGGUUACUAGGCCAACACGCUAACCACUAGGCUACCUGCAACUCCCAGGUAGCUGGGUUAACUUAGUUUAUUUUUUAUACUUUUUAUUAUACUUUUUUUUAAUACUUUUUUUUUAAUACUUUUUAUACUAGUUUAUUUUUUAUACUUAUUUUUUAUUUUUAACUUUUUAUGUUUUAUACGUAGGACAAAGAAAGGUAAGCAAAGUUACGCCAUUUGAGAUACACAUUACACAACGGUACUAGUACAUAUCCUGAAUACAUGAUAUAUGUUGUUUUUUCAUCUUUUUAAUGAGUUUGUUUUUUUGGUCUUUAAAAAAGGUAUGUACAGUAUUCACUGGGGCAUUUUUUAGGAAUUAAUUAGUUAUGUCAAGUUAAAGGUCAGACUGAACAUUGACACUCCCCCCACAGUGCUGAACUUGAAGAGUAGUGGUCAGCCAGCCAGCCAGUCAAUCAGUCAGUUAGUCAGUCAGCCAGCCAGCCAGUCAAUCAGUCAGUCAGUCAGUCAGCCAGCCAGUCAAUCAGUCAGUUAGUCAGUCAGCCAGUCAGUCAUCAGCCAGUCAGUCAGUCAGCCAGUCAGUCAGACAAUCAGCCAGCCAGUCAAUCAGUCAGUCAUCAGCCAGUUAGUCAGUCAGCCAGUCAGUCAUCAGCCAGUCAGUCAGUCAGCCAGUCAGUCAGACAAUCAGCCAGCCAGUCAAUCAGUCAGUUAGUCAGCCAGUCAGUCAGUCAGCCAGUCAGCCAGUCAGUCAUCAGCCAGUCAGUCAGACAAUCAGCCAGCCAGUCAAUCAGUCAGUUAGUCAGUCAGCCAGUCAGUCAUUCAGCCAGUCAGCCAGCCAGCCAGCCAACCAGCUAGCCAGCCAGCCAGCCAGUCAGUCAGUCAGAGGAUGUAAGAGGAAGGGAAAUCCACACGGAAAGUACUGUUCACCCAUGGUCACAAACAGGCGCACACACACACAGACAUAUACACACCUAUGCGCACACACACACACCUACACACACACACACACACACACACGCAUUCACGCACACACACACUCACACACGCGCACACGCACACGCACACACACACACACG